rnacentral:rRNA from 1 species
UACGGAGGGUGCAAGCGUUAUCCGGAUUUACUGGGUUUAAAGGGUGUGUAGGCGGGUCUUUAAGUCAGAGGUGAAAUCUCCGAGCUUAACUUGGAAACUGCCAUUGAUACUAUUGAUCUUGAAUUCUGUUGAGGUGGGCGGAAUAUGUCAUGUAGCGGUGAAAUGCAUAGAUAUGACAUAGAACACCAAUUGCGAAGGCAGCUCACUAAGCAGAUAUUGACGCUGAGGCACGAAAGCGUGGGGAUCAAACAGG